CCUACGGGAGGCAGCAGUGAGGAAUAUUGGUCAAUGGUCGCGAGCCUGAACCAGCCAAGCCGCGUGAAGGAGGAAUGUACUGAGGAUCGUAAACUUCUUUUGUAAGGGAAUAAAGACAGGCACGCGUGCCCUUUUGAGUGUACUUUAAGAAAAAGGAUCGGCUAACUCCGUGCCAGCAGCCGCGGUAAUACGGAGGAUGCGAGCGUUAUCCGGAUUUAUUGGGUUUAAAGGGGGCGGAGGGGGGUUGUUAAGUCAGUGGGUAAAGGCCGGGGCUCAACCGUAGAACGGCAGUUGAUACUGGCAGUCUCGAGUUGAAGAGAGGUAUGCGGAAUGCGCGGUGUAGUGGUGAAAUGCAUAGAUAUCGCGAAGAACUCCGAUUGCGAAGGCAGCUUGC
rnacentral:rRNA from 1 species